GUCUGAAUUAAAUUAUUAUUAUUAUAUUUACAUGUCUUCGAUCCAGAGAAUAACGACAAUGGUGCUGAAGGCUGGUGUCGGAGCAUAGAAAAACUUGGUGUUGAAUUCAAGUGUACCAGCAUCCACUAAGCUGCCACAGCAGGUGCCGAGGAACUAGUCGAGGUUUAACGAAGUUCUCUCACGGACUACGGAGAUAUCCCUAGUUUAGUACCAAAAUAAGGUAACCAGGAUCUGAUGAUGGAAUCUCAGAGAAAUCGAGGGAAACUCAAAAAUCCACAUAACUUUUUACUGGGUGUACCGAUUUUGAUAAUUAUUAAUUUAAUCGAAAGCUGAUAUUUAUCAUGUGGUCACAUUUAAAUUUUAUCGAAAUCUGAUAACCACUUUCGGAGUAAUCUUUGAUAAUGCGUAUUUACUUGACUAUUUUUUUCAUCUACCUACGUUGUAUUACUUGUCAAUAUAACUGAAGUCUUUUUUUUUUCGUUUGUCUGCAAACACAAUUAUGUUAAAGAUAAUUGCGACAGUUAUUUGAUGAAUGGCAAACUAGGCAUCAUAUGGUAGCGACUGGUACUCCCCGGGGGAAUGGCCAAGUCGAACGGUACGUAGCUACAAUAACAAAUAUGAUAAGCGCUUCUUGUACCAAUGUGUCAGACUGGCCGAGCGUUCUGUGGGUUGUGGAAAGUAUAACUUUCCUUAAACACUACUGUACAGCAAUCGACCGGCUUUUCACCUAUUAGGUUGCUUAGUGGAAAAAAGUCUAACAUUCCGUGUAUACAAGCUCGAUUAGAUGAGGUAAUACAAGAUCAUAAUAUCAUUGACGUAACUGCUGAUCGUAGGCUACCACACCAACGUCUUAAUAUUGUUGCUGAUAAAUUUAAAGAUCGCUUUGACCAAGCACGUAGAGAUAACAUGGAUUUUAGUGUAGGAGAUAUUGUAUAUGUAAAUCAAGGCCAUAUAAGAUUAGGACUAUAUUAAAUAAUGACAGAUUCUCAUUGAAGGUUAUUGGAAAUUUAAGAAACAUUAUAGUUGCAAAAGAAAAAAAAAUCGCCUAUGGCCUGGAGAGUGGACUGGGCAAAACGCUGUUGUAGAAGAUUUAUUAUACAGUUCGGCCUAUCGCAGUGCACUGCUGGACAUAGGCCUCCCCAAGUUCGCGCCAGAUAUCCCGGUCUUCCGCUAUCCUCAUCCAGCCUACACCGGCAACCUUACGUAGAUCGUCGGUCCAACGGGC
rnacentral:misc_RNA from 1 species